rnacentral:rRNA from 1 species
AUGGCAAGUCGAACGGUGAGAGGGGAGCUUGCUCUGCUGGAUCAGUGGCGAACGGGUGAGUAACACGUGAGCAAUCUGCCCUUGACUCUGGGAUAAGCGCUGGAAACGGCGUCUAAUACCGGAUACGAGCUGCGAAGGCAUCUUCAGCAGCUGGAAAGAACUUCGGUCAAGGAUGAGCUCGCGGCCUAUCAGCUUGUUGGUGAGGUAACGGCUCACCAAGGCGUCGACGGGUAGCCGGCCUGAGAGGGUGACCGGCCACACUGGGACUGAGACACGGCCCAGACUCCUACGGGAGGCAGCAGUGGGGAAUAUUGCACAAUGGGCGCAAGCCUGAUGCAGCAACGCCGCGUGAGGGACGACGGCCUUCGGGUUGUAAACCUCUUUUAGCAGGGAAGAAGCGAAAGUGACGGUACCUGCAGAAAAAGCACCGGCUAACUACGUGCCAGCAGCCGCGGUAAUACGUAGGGUGCAAGCGUUAUCCGGAAUUAUUGGGCGUAAAGAGCUCGUAGGCGGUUUGUCGCGUCUGCUGUGAAAACUGGAGGCUCAACCUCCAGCCUGCAGUGGGUACGGGCAGACUAGAGUGCGGUAGGGGAGAUUGGAAUUCCUGGUGUAGCGGUGGAAUGCGCAGAUAUCAGGAGGAACACCGAUGGCGAAGGCAGAUCUCUGGGCCGUAACUGACGCUGAGGAGCGAAAGGGUGGGGAGCAAACAGGCUUAGAUACCCUGGUAGUCCACCCCGUAAACGUUGGGAACUAGUUGUGGGGUCCAUUCCACGGAUUCCGUGACGCAGCUAACGCAUUAAGUUCCCCGCCUGGGGAGUACGGCCGCAAGGCUAAAACUCAAAGGAAUUGAC